GGGGAAAGUCCCCGUGCCUUGAUCCCCAUGCCCUCUGUCAGAGAGUGUCAGCGGGAGACCGCAGGGCGUUGGCUUGCUUGCAGGCAGUGAAACCUUUGGUGGAUUUGCAGCAGCAGGCUUGGGCCUUUUGCAGCAGCACAGGCAUGCCGUGAGCGCUCCCAUGAGGGCGCCAACUGAACGGGGCUCACUCUC
rnacentral:RNase_MRP_RNA from 1 species